rnacentral:rRNA from 1 species
GUGAGGAAUAUUGGUCAAUGGGCGGGAGCCUGAACCAGCCAAGUCGAGUGAAGGAAGAAGGAUCUAUGGUUCGUAAACUUCUUUUGCAGGGGAAUAAAGUGCAGGACGUGUCCUGUUUUGUAUGUACCCUGAGAAUAAGGAUCGGCUAACUCCGUGCCAGCAGCCGCGGUAAUACGGAGGAUCCGAGCGUUAUCCGGAUUUAUUGGGUUUAAAGGGUGCGUAGGUGGUUUGAUAAGUCAGCGGUGAAAGUUUGCAGCUUAACUGUAAAAAUGCCGUUGAAACUGUCGGACUUGAGUGUAAAUGAGGUAGGCGGAAUGCGUGGUGUAGCGGUGAAAUGCAUAGAUAUCACGCAGAACUCCGAUUGCGAAGGCAGCUUACUAAGCUACAACUGACACUGAAGCACGAAAGCGUGGGGAUCAAACAGGAUUAGAUACCCCAGUAGUCC